CUCAUAUAGUUAAGGAUUGAAUCCAUAAAAGCCACAAAAAGCCACGCAGCACAAGGGAACUCAACGAUGGGUAAACAGACAAAGAAGGAAAUCAGAGAGCAGGGGGAGGAUGCUGGACUUGCUCUCACAGAUUCAUCUGGUCUUGGCAACUUCACCCGCAUGCUGCAGGUUUCGGUUGGUCUCCAGGAAUAAAAGGUGUUCCAAUCACACAUGAAGCACCCACUUUGGGAACACUCAUAGACACCCCAGGAAUCCCUGUGACAUUGGCAACUUCUGUUUUCCCCAUAGGUGGAGAGACUGGCGGUACUCACGUGUUCCAGGCUCUGGAGAGGCCUUGUGAAUAAUGAGACAGCUACAUACCUGCUAGCAAGAGGCCAGAAGUUCAGGAGGAAAAAGAUAACAAAUAUCUGGCAACACUUAUUUACCCCUGGUUGUGACAUGUGUCACAGAGGAAGGAACUACGGCAAUCAACACACACCUUCGCGGGCCUCACUUCUCAAGGGGCCCCUCCCAGGACCGCUGAUCCUUAAAGGCACUCCUGGAGAUGCAUGCUCUUGUUUUCAGACCCUUCCCACUUGGGGACAGGUCCCCCUGCCCCAGGGUCUGCAGACUUCUCUUUAGAUAUGCUAUGGUGGCAGGGAAGUGGUGCAGAAGAUUCACUGUGUGGUGUGGUCCCUCCAGGACCAGGGAGUCCAGAUCUGCUUGCAGCUUCAUCUGAAGUGUUUUGUUUAGUCUCAAGCGUGGUCUCAAGUGUUUGGCUCUAAAUGAGGUGCGAGCACGUUUUCUAGCCUUGCUUCCAGGUAGGUACUCCUGCCCACCAGUGCUUGUUCAUCUGCUGUGACAGUCAAUUUUAAAACGCAGAUUUGAGCACCCAGUCCAGAGGUACCUGCUCAGGACCAGAGCAGAGUCAUGGAUGUCAGACCAGAGAUGGAGUAGCCUUCAUCAGCUCCACCAGACUCAGUUUACCAGUUUUUGUCAAGUGAAGUUUCUCAUGGGUAAAAGGGGGGCAAUGUACAGAAAAUACCACCUGAAGCUUUGCGCAGACAAGUGCCAGCCAUUUUUCACAGAUCUUGAUGGUUUGGAAUUCCUCAUGGAGAAUGUGAUGCCUACCACCAGUCGACAGGAAACAGAGAGUCUCUGCAUUCAUGGAGCUUGGGAAGAUUCUCAACUUCAGACAGGCCAAGAGGAAAAGAAGAGGAAGUGAGCCUGUCCCACCUCUACCAGUCAGUUGUCACGGUGAAAGGAGGUGCUUGUGGGUAAACUGAGAAAAUCAGGCUAAGCUAGAGAGAGUGCCGUGGGUAGCUGGGUUUCUGCUUUGAUAUCUUCCAAUGAGACUCCGGGAAGCCAAGUCUCAUGUCAACGUGAAGUUUCUUACCAGAAUUUUUUUUUUCUAGUCAUUUCAUAGAGUUAACACAUCGCAGAAGUUAUCGGAGGCUGACACAGUGACCCGAGCGACUAGGUGUGGUGAGCAAAUGACGUAUUUAAUAUGAAAGACUGGCUGGGAGAUAAUAGGAGUUCUUUAAAGAGCAAAGCCACGGUUAACUUUUCAACUCUAACAGCAAGUGAGAGUCAGACAAUUAAACGGGGAAGCCAUGCACAAAUGUCACACACAGAGGAGAUCAAAGACGACUGCAGUCUCUGAUAAAGAUCAAGAGAGACAACUUGGAUUUUUAUAGCGUUUCCUAACAAAUGGCUGAAGUGGGAAAGAAAGAAAGGAAAGAAAAACACAGCGGGUAAUUUGAUUUCUCAAUAUGCCUGCAGACUGCCCCAAGAUGUUGUAGAGAUCAAAGGCUAGCCUUGGCAACAAAAUGCCACCCGGAAUGGCAUGUUCUUUGUUUGCAUUACUAUUUCAGGAGGGGCAAUUUGUAUUUCAGCCCAUGUAUCAAGUUUGGGGGUUUGUGUGCGAGCGUCAAGAGAGGUCGGUCAGCUGACUAGUAGACGCUAAGGCCUACGGGGCUUGGGUCUGACAGUCCGGUUGCACAGUGCCUCAGGCCCUCCCGUACCAGAAGCACUGCUGCUUACGCAGGCGUGACGUUAUGCAGCAGUGAGGCCGGUUACUAUCCCCAAUACUUUUCCAGGAACAUCCUCUCUUCGAAUUAUACCUGCAUCUGCAGCCUAUGUGCACACAUGUGUGUAAAGUAUUGCAGUGGACACUGUGUUUGUAAACUGUCGUGUGUUGCUUAAGCUUGCUGCAGUGAUGGUUCUGGAAGCAGGCUAGACGCUCCUAUUUCAGACUCACACAUAUUUGUCUUGAAGUGUCCUCCGAACACCCCUGUCUCGGGUCAGGUUGGCACCCUGACUCCGCACCAGGCAGAGCGGAAAGAGCCAACAGAUAGAGUAGUGAAGGCAGUUUGUCCCUGAGUAGAGCCAGAAAGGUAAAGCAUUCCUAAAAGACGUUGCUAUUGUUUCUCCCACCAUCCAGAAGUGCCUGAGAAAUGGAAAGCUGAAAGUUCAUCCUCGGAGAGAAAGCUCCACUGCGAACUCCAGAUGAUGGCUUCGACUUCUCUGGUUGUUUCUGCUGUGUGUUCUAAGCCCCCAGUUUGAUGCUGUAACCUUCAUUUGCUCUCUCACUUGGCUCCUCCAGUCAUUUCUGCUGGAUGUUACAAACUCCUGUUUUGGUGAUUUGUAGCUAUCUUAUCUGCUGCUUCUCUCUAUCAGCUACUGGCUGCUUAUUCUUUACUUUUGCCUUAAAUACUUAAUGAAAUCAUUCAACAGUGUAGCUGUCAUAGAUCAUUCUCCAGACCUUAUAAAACAACUAUAUACAUACCAACUAUAUACUGAAAACUGGAUACCUGUCUUGAUCUACCCAAAUGCAUAGACAUUUAAUGGCCAUAGAUUAAGAUAUCUACAAGGGUAUCUUAGGAUCCUUCUGGAAUUUGGCAUAAUGUAGUGAGUGACAUCAUUCAUGAAAGGUAAGCUGUCUUUCCAUUUCUCACAUUUGGUUACCAUUAUAUUAUUUAUUGUUAUUUUUGUAUAAUUUACCAAUUCAUCUAGGUAGCCAUCGAGAGGCAUAAUAAUACAGUUAAUGUUUUACACAAAUAAUUAUCCUUCAAAUGGAAGUUAGUAAGUGGAUUACGAAUGAAUCCAAGAAUGUUUUGGCAGAUAUCCGUGGGAAGCUGCACUGGGAUCAAAUCCAUGGUAACGAAGCAAGGUAUUCUGGCUGGGGAAUUGAUGGUAUGUUUGAAAAGCUUAAUAAGCACUGAAAUUGUUUAUAUUGUUUAUUCCAGAAAGGCGAAUGGAGAAGUUUAAUCAGAUAUCAAGUAGCUGGAAAUUAAAUGAAAUAGAUCAGAAAUAGAGUUUCUGUAAUCAGAAUAUUUAUUUCCCAGCAGUCCACAGCUGCAACAGAGAAUAAUGCCCAAUCUCUUGUAAGGUGUCCAGCAAACAAAAGAGUGCCACUUACUAUUGUUGACUGUGCUCCUGUUGGGUGUGAUUUAGAGUCUUGGGAGCUUUGCUGGCUCCCCUCUGGCUGCAGUCCUGGAAGCGGCACAGCGGGUGGGGAGGCAGGCUGUGAUUCCCACUAAGUCCGCCUUCCCUAAGUCCUUCUGUGGGGCUUCUGUUCUUUAUUAUACGCGUUCUCAAGGGCACAUUUUACUCAACCCUAAAUGCCUUCCCUACACUUAUUCUAAAUGACUUUUUGCUGGAGAAGGCAGCGGGAUGAACUUCCACGGAGCCAUCACUCAGCUUCAACAGUUAUUGGCACUUGGCAAGCUUUACAGCAGAUUCCUUUCUCUGUUUUUAUUGCAUUGAAAGAUGCAUGGCAUGCCACUUAUCAUGGUGGCCAUUUUGAAGUGCACACUUCAGUAGCAUUGGGUAUAGUCACGUGUUCUAAAACAUCUGCAGAACCUCAUCUGCAAAUUGUCAAACAAUCCCUGCUCCCUUCCUCCAGCCACCACUGUCCUUUCUCACUGAAUUUGACUUCACUAGUCUCACAUGGAUGGAGUCAGGGGCAUUUGUCUUUCCCCUGACUGGCUUGUUUCUCCUUAGCCCAGUGUCCCCAAGGCUUACCCACACUGUAGAAUAAGACAGAAUUUCUUUCCUUCUUAAGCCUGAAGAAUAUUCCAUUGUAACACAACAUGUGCUGUGUUUCCAUUCAUCUCUAGAUUGGCAGCUGUUUUGCCCUGCUCAGCUGUUGGGAUCAGAACUGCUAUAGACAUAGGCACACACAUACCUCUUUGAGACCCUGCUUUCAACUCUUGAGCAUAGAUGAUCGGAAGGGAGGUUGUUAGAUUCUAUGAUGAUUCUACUUUUAAUCCUUUAAAUAAUUUAAAGACUGAAUUUAUUUUUAAUUAUGUGUAUGAUUGAUUUUCUUUUUAAUUAUGUGUGUGGUUGAUUUUAUUUUUAAUUAUGUGUGUGAUAGAUUUUAUUUUUAAUCAUGUGUAUGUGUGUAUGUAAAGGUGGUUGUGAGCCAGCGAUGUGAGGGACAGUGUGGUGGUUUGAAUGAGAAUGGCUCUCAUAGGCUCAUAUGUUUGAAUGCUACAUUCCCAGUUGAAGGAACUGUUUGGGAAGGAUUAGAAGGUAUAGCUUUGUUGGAGGUGUGUUACUGGGGGAUAGGCUUUGAGGUUUCAAAUGCCCACACCAUUCCCAGCUAGCUCUCUCUGCCUCUGCCUUUCAGAUCAGGAUAUAAGUUCUCAGCUACUGCUCCAGUGCCACACCUGCCUGCUGCCAUACUUUCCACAAUGAUGGCCAUAGACUCUCUCUCUGGAACUUUAAGCCCCCAAAUUAAACGCUU